AGAAAACUCCGUAUUUCGUGGAUAACAUGUAAAAAGGUGACCGAGAGAUGAGAACGAGCAUGGGAUGGUCCAAGGAUGCUUGGUUUCUUGUUAUUUUGGUGUGGUUCGCAUUCUACAGUCCACUUUCUGAGACCAAGUCAAACUGCAGCACUCCUCUGGAAAUCAGAGACAAAUGGUACUUCCGGGAUGAACCCGGCACCAUGCUGCGAGUGAGGAAGAAAAGUAUGGUGUUCAAACAAAAAGGACAGAAGACUAUCCGAUACAAAUGUCUGGAGGCCAAAGGACAGACGUUCAUGCUAAGGACACGCGUAAACGGCGUUGGGCUACAUGGAAUAGUCUGCAUUGGUUUUGUAUCGGUUGAUGAACCCGGUGCCGACUACAGCUUGUGGAGACUCUCUCGUAAGACAGAAAAACUCCACUCAGAACAAUAUAACAUACAUGCUAUUAAUAAAAAAACCACGUGUUGAUAAAUCUAUUUUUGAUUGAUGCAGAAAGGGCGUCUGGUCACCCAUUAAUGGCACCGUUGUUAAUUUCGAGUUCUGUGACGUUAAGUAUUAAUACCUUGUGUAACGGGGCCCAGACUAAGACACAGUACUUCAUACACAGGGCAAGUAAGUACAUGUACCAAUUAUUGUCUUGUACCCCACUGCCCUCAUCCCAUGCAUUCACUCCUAAACUGCGUUGCGGUUACUAUGCAUUGAUUUUAUAUAGAUCUGACCAUGAUGUUUGGUACUUUUCGUUUUUGCUUAACAGUAUUCAUUUUUAUAAGAAAGAUACAUGUACGUUAAGUCAUAUUUUUAAUAAAUAUUGUGAUGAUUUGAUAUCUCACGUUGGUGAUGCGUCAUUAUAAUGGUGUCUAAAUCUAAAUUUUUGAACAAUUGAUGGCAAUGUUGGUACUAUUAAAUUUACGAGGUGAUACUUCUGCUAGAUUUGCUGUCAUACUCUCCACAUCAUUUGCUAAGAGUAUCAACCUAAAUCAAAACUGGUUCUUAUUCAUUUCCCAUAGAUGACAAUGUCCAAUAUGUCUUUUGCAGAAAAGACUUGUCGAUUUCCGACAACGCUUCGCGCCAUGUGGCAGACGACUAUCCAAGGAGCUUGGCGCUUGUCAUUUUCAAAAUACGGCAUGCAUUAUAUCACCAUGAACAGGACUACACUGCAUUUCAGUUGCGAUACACGAGACAAAGACAACUUCAUACUAAGAACUAACAACAUACAGACUGGAAUAGAUGGAGUAUUAUGCCUUCAUAUCAUACCACUGCACGGAGAUCCUCACUAUAAAUACCAGAUCUCCAGAACUAACUUGGGAAACGAUGCUUCAGUUUUUCAAAUGGUGACACAUGUACCUCACGGAACAAAAUUCCGCAUGUACAAAGACUGUGAGUUGAUUGAGAGUCCAGCUAGACCCCAAUUUCUGUAUCCUUGACAGCUAUCAUUUUAUAAAUGGAAUUAGAAUUGACUCAUACUUGACUAUUCAAAAUAAAUUAUGCCUAUGUUU
rnacentral:misc_RNA from 1 species